GACGAACGCUGGCGGCGUGCUUAACACAUGCAAGUCGAACGGAAAGACCCUGCUUUUGUGGGGUGCUCGAGUGGCGAACGGGUGAGUAACACGUGAGUAACCUGCCCUUGACUUUGGGAUAACUUCAGGAAACUGGGGCUAAUACCGGAUAGGAGCUCCUGCUGCAUGGUGGGGGUUGGAAAGUUUCGGCGGUUGGGGAUGGACUCGCGGCUUAUCAGCUUGUUGGUGGGGUAGUGGCUUACCAAGGCUUUGACGGGUAGCCGGCCUGAGAGGGUGACCGGCCACAUUGGGACUGAGAUACGGCCCAGAAUCCUACGGGAGGCAGAAGUGGGGAAUAUUGCACAAUGGGCGGAAGCCUGAUGCAGCAACGCCGCGUGCGGGAUGACGGCCUUCGGGUUGUAAACCGCUUUCGCCUGUGACGAAGCGUGAGUGACGGUAAUGGGUAAAGAAGCACCGGCUAACUACGUG
rnacentral:rRNA from 1 species